UAUAUAUAUAUAUUCAAUGGGCCACAAGGCAUCAUAUUGGACUGGUUUCUUCCUUUGUCUAAAGCCUAUUGGGCUUAAUUGAAACACUGAUACCAAUUGCCAGAUGGAUCGACAUAUAAACUAGGUUUUGUUCGAUUUAUGCGGCUCUCAUUAUAAACUAGGGUUUGCUUUGUUCUCUGCUGCCGCUCUCUCUUUUUCAUUAUAUUUUCAAGGGGUUUAAUGCUCAGAUUGAUGCUAUUUGGUUUUUAGGAGAGGAAACAAGGACUUUGAAGAAGAAAUCAAUGGAAGAUUUGAUGCAAAUCACGCGUAUGUAUGAGAUACAGGGUAACGAGCCACCUUGUGCAUGUGGAAGGGGUCGAAUGAAUCUUUAUACGGCUGGAACUUCAAAGAAUUAUGGACGUUCAUUCUAUAGAUGUCUAGCUUAGGGGGUAUACAAUCCUUUGCAUUAAUAAUUUUUUAUGCGUACAUGUUAUUGUUACAAGGCCAUUAUAAUAAUAUGCAAGUCUUUGAUGUUUUAGUCACAUGCUCGUUCAUUUAUAUGGUUGGAUGACAUGUACCAACGUCUGCAAGUGGGUGGUCAUGUGGAGCAAGAGUUGGAGGAUGUAGUUGCUGUUAUAUAAGCUCAACAAAAUAGGCAAAACUACAUUAUCUAUAGUGGUUGUUAUUGUCUUACUAUAACUAUAUUAUUUAUGUUAUUGUUCAUGUUGUUGUUGUUGGUUAUUGUGAUUGUUGAUAAAUGAUAUAAUAUAUUAGUUCAAUUUUACUUCAUGAACUUUUAUUGUGCC